AUGGCCCUUCAUAAAUUUCCUCUCAACAGAGGGGCUGCAUAUUGGGCACAUCGCGCACCACUCCCUAGCAUACUACUCGCCAAUGUCCAGUCUCUUGACAACAAGGUUGAUGAAAUCCGAGCAAGGGUAGCAUUCCAGAGGGACAUCAGGGACUGUAACGUUCUUUGCUUCACGGAAAUAUGGCUCACUCGAGAGAAGCUAUCGGAGUCGGUGCAGCCAACUGGUUUCUCCACGCAUCGCGCCGACAGAAACAAACAUCUUUCUGGUAAGAAGAGGGGCGGGGGCGUAUGCUUUAUGGUUAAUGAGACGUGGUGUGGUCACAACAACAUACAGGAACUCAAGUCCUUCUGUUCACCUGAUUUAGAAUUCCUCACAAUCAAAUGUCGACCGCAUUAUCUACCAAGGGAAUUCUCUUCGAUUAUAAUCACUGCCGUAUAUAUUCCCCCCCAAGCAGACACAUCGAGGGCUCUGAACGAACUUUAUUUGACUCUUUGCAAACUGGAAUCCAUAUAUCCUGAGGCUGCAUUCAUUGUAGCUGGGGAUUUUAACAAGGCUAAUCUGAAAACAAGACUCCCUAAAUUGUAUCAGCAUAUCGAUUGCGCAACCAGGGCUGGUAAAACCUUGGAUCAUUGCUAUUCUAACUUCCGCGAUGCAUAUAAGGCCCUCCCCCGCACUCCUUUCGGAAAAGCUGACCACUACUCCAUUUUGUUGCUCCCUGCCUACAGACAGAAGCUAAAACAAGAAGCUCCCACGCUGAGGUCUGUUCAACGCUGGUCCGACCAAUCUGAUUCCACGCUCCAAGACUGCUUCCAUCACGUGGACUGGGAUAUGUUUCGUAUUGCGUCAGACAACAAAAUUGACGAAUACGCUGAUUCGGUGAGCGAGUUCAUUAGAACGUGCGUUGAUGAUGUCGUUCCCAUAGCAACGAUUAAAACAUUCCCAAACCAGAAACCGUGGAUUGAUGGCAGCAUUCGUGUGAAACUGAAAGCGCGAACCACUGCUUUUAAUCAGGGCAAGGUGACCGGAAACAUGACCGAAUACAAACAGUGUAGCUAUUCCCUCCGCAAGGCAAUCAAACAAGCUAAGCGUCAGUAUAGAGACAAAGUAGAAUCGCAA
rnacentral:lncRNA from 13 species